ACCUAGGUGGCUCAGUCGGUUGAGCAUCUGAAUUCGGCUCAGGUCAUGAUCUCACAGUUUGUGAGUUCGAGUCCCACCUCGGGCU
rnacentral:tRNA from 1 species